rnacentral:rRNA from 1 species
UACGUAGGGGGCAAGCGUUGUCCGGAUUUACUGGGCGUAAAGAGCGUGUAGGCGGCCAAACAGGUCCGUUGUGAAAACUGGAAGCUCAACUUCCAGACGUCGACGGAAACCGUGUGGCUAGAGUCCGGAAGAGGAGAGUGGAAUUCCUGGUGUAGCGGUGAAAUGCGCAGAUAUCAGGAAGAACACCAAUGGCGAAGGCAACUCUCUGGGACGGUACUGACGCUGAGACGCGAAAGCGUGGGGAGCGAACAGG